ensembl:lncRNA
UCCUGGAAGGAAUGACUGAGCUAUUAUGCUGCUGGCUGAGAGGAGUGCGGUGACAUUCAGAUGCCAUCACAUCUGAGACCACCUGCGACCUGCCUCCAGCCUCUCAAAAGCGGACUUCUUGCUGCUUCGAGAUGCUGAGUCGCACAGAGUGCUUUGGUCAGUCUGACCCCUUUGCGGACACUCACAUUGACGGGGCGUUGAACCUCCUAUUCCCCACUGGAGCUUAGGGAGUGACCUGCCUGGGUUGAAGUCUCAGCUCUACGACCUUUGUGAGCUUGGACACGUCACAUGUCUUCUGCUGCCUUGGACAGAAACUAGAGAUAGAAAGGCUGAGAGAUGGAGCUCAAGACUUAGUCUGAUGGCUGCAGCACUGAAUGUUCUGCUGACUGCUCUCUUAGGCACUAUUUCUCAAGCCAUCCAUUUGUGCUGUUUUUUCAGAGCAAAGACUGGGUUUCCUUCAGGAAGCCAAGUCAGGUGAGGUUAAUUCCCCACAAAAACCACAAGUCAGACUCUUUGGCUUCUAACUCUCAGUAGCUCACUCAUAGUCUGAUUCUUUGUGACCCCAUGUCCUGUAGCCCGCCAGCUCCCCUGUCCACGCAAUUCUUCAGGCAAGAAUCCUGGAGUGGCUAGCUGCUGUUCCCUUCUCCAGGGGAUCGUCCUGACCUCUGAUGGAAACCUGGUCUCCUGCAUUGCAGGCAGACUCUUUACCUUCUGAGCCACUAAGCCCAGGUUCAAAACCCAUCCACUGUGUGCAAUAUUUACAGAGCUACUGAAUUCUCCCGGGGUAGGGGGUGGGGGGCAGAAAAGAGGUUGCAUGCCAAGCUGUAACCCACAGCAAAACUUUUUUUUUAUCCUCGUAGAAGCUCUGUAGGCAACCUUGAGCAGUUUUGUCUGUUCUGGAGACACUGGGCAGAAACAGGCUGAAAUGCAGUGACGCUGUUGCACGGAUCCACCCCCCGAAUCUUUGGCAUCAGGGCAAAUGGACAGACGCGGCAUUUUCAUCUUUUAAGGCACAUUCCACACACGAUCUUCCAAAAGAAUGUUCUGGUUUCCAGGAACCAACGAAAUAGAAGAGCAACUGUUCCCAACAGGUCCUGAGAUCUCCGCUCUGAAGGAAUCAGGGUCUCGGGAGUAGUCCUACAAUGGUUUGUCCUGUGUUUACAAGCGAGUGUGUACUCCCCAAGGGUGGUUAAGGUUUCAUCACCGUCAGCGUGUGUUCUGACUUCUAUCAGAGCAGCUGCCCCUGCUUCCAGACGAGCCAGCCUGGAUCUUUCUGAAGUGGUAGCGCUUGCAGCUCCUGGUUAGAGGCCCUGCUUCCAUCCCGCAGUGACCUCCCCUCUGCCUUCUGCCCCAACAG